rnacentral:lncRNA from 1 species
CUUGACUUUGACUUGGUCUUCAUGACUUGAGACUUGACUUAGACUUGAGACAGAUGACUCGAAAUGACUUUUCUAAAGUUAGAUUAUAGGUUAGAUAUGUGAUUUGCGAUACGCCAGCAGAUUUUGAAAAGACGCAACUCAAAUGGUCCUACCCCCUCUCCUUCAACGCUGACUCUGACUCCACCCAUUCCAAGUACAUGGACGCGCAAUCACACAAGAGCGCGAACACAGAUGCGCGAGAGUGGGCCAGGGCAGGCUAGCUAGGUUGGAGUUUAGGGUUGUAUUCUAGCGCUAGGUCCAAAUGUGGAUUAGCUAGUAAACUAGCUCCAGUAGCUACCGCAGGAUAACAACAAACAGAAGCUUGCUCUGGGUCACGAGCUUUGAGUACGUGCACGUGCACGAAGAGGUCACGCGCGGGGGGAGGGGGAGUGCAGUACGACCGUUUGAUUGACGUACUCAGGGCUGUAGUGGAGGGUAAACGCACGUAAACGCCGUUUACGCACCUCUGGAAUUUAGGAAAUAGCGUUUACGCACCUCUAAAUAGCGUUUACGCACCUCAAAGUUCCCUGUGCCUUGUAUUCUGCCGUUGGAAUAAUCAGAAAUAAAUUCAGCAUCAUUUUAAAACACCUAAGACAAGGUUUCAUAUUGUUGAACAAAUAAACGCUGUAAUCUGAAUCAUUUUCAUCUGCGCUGGCCUAUGCUAUUAUGGUCUGUGACCCUCCAAUCAGUGCCUUGCGGCUGCGGCAGCGACACCAAUCAGGAUCCAGGAAAAUAUGUAAACAGGAAGUAUGUAAACACAUGGCCCUGCGCGUUGUGGAUUAUCAUACCUGUCAUUAAUUAGCCAUGGAUAUCAGGCGAUUUUUGAAGAGACCUUCGAGUGCUCCCACUCCAACAGAUGACCGAAAAAGGCCUCAAGUACAAAGGGGAGAAAGAUGGUGGAACUGGCAUUAAAGAGAAAGUAUCCCGAGUAUGCUGCACAGGGUAUUCCACCAAAGAGGAGUCGAGACUGCAUGGAAGAAACAUGGGUGAUCCCAGACACUUUGUUGGACACCAGCUUUGACCUGGACACCAGCUUCGACCUGUCCGAUGAUGGCUCAUACUACGUCCCAACCCCAUACUCUUCCCCGACACAGACUGAACUGGAACCAACUUCAAGCCAUUCCCCGACUGAACUGGAACCAACCCCAAGCCAUUCCCCGACUGAACUGGAACCAACCCCAAGCCAUUCCCCGACUGAAGAGGAACCAACCGCAAGCCAUUCUCCGACUGCAUUGGAACCAACCCCAAGCCACUCCCCGACUGAACUGGAACCAACCCCAAGCCAUUCCCCGACUGAAGUGGAACUGACACAGACUGAAGUGGAACCAACUGAGGAGGAAAGGCCGCAACCACGCCCACCAAUGAGGGGCCCAUGUGGUUCCCAGUGUCAUAGGAAGUGCACUGACCACAUGUCAGAUGACAGGCGGAAGGAGAUAUGGAGGCAGUUUUGGGACAUGACGUACACAGAGCGGCGAACCUGGAUGUUCCACUCAGUCACCUCACUGGAGACGAAGAGAGUUUGUGCUGCAGGCAGUCGACGUGGCCGGACGUUCAGCUACAGGCUACAAGACCAGAGAGGAGAGCCAAGACGUGUCUGCAAGAUGUUCUUCUUGUCAACGCUGGGCUACCACCCAAAAAAUGACAGUCUGGUGAUGACCAUGAUGGGCAAUGCAAGCAGCAAGCCACUCGCUCCACCUCAGGACCAGAGAGGAAGGCAGGCCGCUGCAAACAAACUCGAUCAAAAAUUAUUACUGGACCACAUAGAGUCGUUCCACCCUACAGUUAGCCACUAUAGGCGUGAACAUGCCCCACAUCGACGGUACCUUCCUAGUGACAUCACCAUGAAAAUGAUGCAUGCUGAUUAUGUGGAGAAAGGGCACACCUGUUCGUAUGAGGCGUACAGGAAGGCUGUCAGGCAAAAAAAAAUAAGUUUCACAAAACUUGGAGAGGAGGAGUGUGAGACUUGCUUGCAGCAUGCUGAACAUGAAAAAUCACACACAGAGGAGAUGGUGGAUUGCCCAGAGUGUCUAAGGUGGCAAAAGCACAAGCAGUCUGCCCUGCAGAGUCGGCUGAGGUACAAGGAGGAUGCAGAGACCAGCAGCUGGCCCGAUGGCACCUCAGUCCGGAGUGCAGACCUCCAAAAAGUGAUAAUGCUGCCACGUAUGCCUGGAGUAAAAUCUUGUGUUUUUACGCGACGUGUUGUGGCAUACCACGAGACAUUUGCCUCUGUGGGGAAGGGGAAAAACAAGAAGAACACCAUCUCUGUCUUGUGGCAUGAGGGAAUAGCAGGGCGAAGCGCUGCAGAAAUCACAUCUGCAUACAUGGCAGCAUUGGAGAAAGAGAGGGAUGCACGCCACAUAAUUCUCUGGGUGGACAACUGCAGUGCGCAAAAUAAGAAUUGGUGCUUGCUCUCCUCACUCGUCACCCUAGUCAGUGGCACAACUUCACUGGAAGACAUCACCCUAAAAUACUUCGAGCCGGGGCACACUUUCAUGAGCGCUGUCAGUUUCCACCAUGGUGUCGAGCAGCAAAUUAGGAAGUGUCCAGGUGGUGUUGUGUACGACUUCGAGGACUUUGUGAAUGUUGUGGCGAGCUCCAAUUCAAAGAAAGUGGAUGUUGUCCUGAUGCAGGAUGCCAAUGUGCUGGAUUGGAAAGAUGGCCAUUCCACUACCAAGGUCAAGAAGGCAAAAGCACCAAAGCUUGGGGAGAUGGCAGAAAUUCAAGUGCGGCGAGGCUCCAAGAGUCUUUUUUACAAGCGGUCACAUGUUGAGACAGAAUUCACAGAAAUGGACUUCCUAUUAAAAAAAUUCAUCCCAACCAUGCCCACUCUUUUGCGACCACAGGACAGGGGAGUUGACGAGAUCAAAAAGAGGGACUUAAUUAACAAACUUUGUCCACUCAUGCCCCCAAACAGAAGGGGGUUCUGGCAUUCCCUGCCUGUACUGAAGGAUGUCCUGGAGGAGUAAUGAAAUUAAUGUAUUGUGUAUUGUUUGUACCGAGUGUGUUGUUCUUUCAUUAUCCCCCGAUUUCUAACAGUUGUAUAUAUAAUUAUAACUAUUUAUCAAAUGAAUAACAAAUAAGCUGAUUUACUCAUUUCUAUGUAUUCAUGCAUCACUCAUGCUUCAUUCAGCAAUGUUUUAAUCUUCC